rnacentral:rRNA from 1 species
UACGGAGGGUGCAAGCGUUAUCCGGAUUUACUGGGUUUAAAGGGUGCGUAGGUGGGUCUGUAAGUCAGUGGUGAAAUCUCCGAGCUUAACUCGGAAACUGCCAUUGAUACUAUAGGUCUUGAAUUAUCUGGAGGUGAGCGGAAUAUGUCAUGUAGCGGUGAAAUGCUUAGAUAUGACAUAGAACACCAAUUGCGAAGGCAGCUCACUACUCAAUCAUUGACGCUGAGGCACGAAAGCGUGGGGAUCAAACAGG